rnacentral:rRNA from 1 species
UACGUAGGUGGCGAGCGUUGUCCGGAUUUACUGGGCGUAAAGAGCGCGCAGGCGGUCGAAUAAGUCGAAUGUGAAAGCCCCUGGCUCAACUAGGGAGAGUCGUUCGAUACUGUUCGACUCGAAGGCAGGAGAGGGAAGUGGAAUUCCGGGUGUAGUGGUGAAAUGCGUAGAUAUCCGGAGGAACACCAGUGGCGAAGGCGACUUUCUGGCCUGUUCUUGACGCUGAGGCGCGAAAGCUAGGGGAGCAAACGGG